CUAAUUUAUUAUUUGCCUUGCAAAUGUUUAUCUGCAGGGAGAUGAAGUAAAUAUACUUCAGCUCUGACAAGCACCAUGGCCACUCUUGCCCUGCCUGAUGGAACGGUCAGUCGAUGCUGUCCCUGAGGAGCCAUGCCCUGCCUUAGGUUUCCCAGACAGUCCUCUGAAAGAGAACUUCUGGGAGGAAUGGCAAGAAAAAUCAGUAAAGAGGAGGAUGCAGUUGAUUGGAGAUAAGUCAGAUGUGUUUUGCACUUUAUCCUCUGGUGUAUAUGCCAAUGCAGACAAUGUCCCAUCACUGUAAUUGUCACUCAGCUGUCUGUCAGUGAUGAGAAGAAAAGGGUGACAGCCUUGACAUCCCACCAAUCAUCCCUCUGGAAAAUUGAUAUCGUCCUCCCCAGUAAACAACAGCUAAAGAAUCGACCAGCCUUGCCUGCACAUCCCUGAACAAUCAGCUUCCAUUAAGGGCAGAAGCCACACAUUUAUCCCACCGUACUCCAAUCAAUAGUACACUGACUUGUUCUAUGUUCAAGCAUGCCACUGCUCAAGGUCUGCAUUUAGCACAAGCUACCUUUCAAGUCUUUCAAACUUAAAUGUACAAUGGAGCUUUUGGGGGUAAAGUCCUCUACUUUCAUGUAAAAUAUCUUAUUCUUGCUAAUUUGGCAUACUUAAAUUUCCAGGAAGUCUAGCAGAUUUGUUUUCUUAAUUAAAUUUUACUUUCUUUAGCAGUAAACUAAAAUCUACAAAAAUAAUAAAAUAAUAAUUGAGAAGCAUUGGUUUAUCAGUUGCAGUUAUACACACACACACACACGUUUUAGAGAAAUUUACACAUGUAGUAUAAAAACUGACCUUAUUUAAAAUUAUCUUUGUGUAGUUACAUACUGAAAAUAUUGUCUGGCAAUCAGAACAGUUUGUUAGAUGUGAGGUCCCCAGCUGUUUAUACAUCAAUUAGUAACUCACAAACUUAGGUUACAUUAGACAGUUAGAUUGGUAAUGCAAUAAAAUCACUGCAAGGUGGUACACACACAAUCUUUCAAGUUAAGCAAACUAGUUAUUUACAUAAAUAUAGAAUUUGUCUCUGCAGGAAAAGCAAAACACAGGCCAGCAGGCUCACUUCACAACUUAAAAGAAAAAACAUCAGAAAUGCUGCAAAUCUGUAACUGCAGUUGCACAUUAGUACUUCACUGUUACUUACUUGACAUGAGGUGCUAAGUCAGCAGCUGCUGUUGUUAUCACUCAAACAUAUUUCCUGUAGAUUAUUUAGAAAUCAACUGGGGCCUUUACAGCACCAAAUCUCCUACACAGAUCACAGUAGGCAUGGCUACCCUACUCACAGAUUUAACAUUUUUAAUGCUAGAGGCUUUUCAUUUCCAAUUUUGUAUCCUGACCCUCACUUGUAACCUUGAGGCUCUUCAUCAGCACACGCCCCGGUGACACUGUGGCAAUGCCUCUUCCACUGUCCCAACUGCUCUUCUGCUUGCAGCCUUACUCUGAUGGGAACAAACUACUGCUGUAGUAGUUUCUUGUAGCAAACGAUUUGCUAAUGCAUGAAUCACUCUUUGCCUCAUGCCUUCCAACCCAUAAGUCCAGGAUAAGAUCUUUUUCCUCCCCUUUCUGUAUUAUAGCUUAGAACUUCAGCACUCUACGGAUAACAUAACAGAGGUCAAUCAAAUACAAUUCCAGUAGGCAUGUUCCUAUAAUAUUCAUGCACACAAAGCUUGGCCAUCAACCAAUGUGCAAGACUUGUGCCUGAUCACACAUGGUCUCACAAGUGUUUACUGUACUGUAAGACAGAACAUGCAGUCAGGAGUUUGGCCAGGCUCUGAUAAUACUAUGUCCUAUAGCAAAAGUGUCUGGACUGCAUGGACGAGGACACUUCCAGGAAUGUUCUUCAUUUUUCUUUCCAGCUGACUACCAAUGACAGGUCUUUUGUCCCUCUCUGUACUCUUUUUUCCUUGUUUUUGUUUUCCAGUCAAUGUAACUUUGAAGAUGAUAUAUACCAUCAGCUAUGGACCCCACU